GGGCCAAGUUUAUUAUAGAUGGAGAAAAUUGUAAGAUGCAAGAAUUUUAAGUAAAGUAAGAUGUACAAACACAUCACCAUCACCAAAACACAAUUUUGUCAUGUAUCUGUGUCCUUUGUUUGAUAUGCACAUAGACCAAGGUGAGUGACACAUGCUCUUAAGAGCCUCUAGUUGCUAUUACAGGUCUUUUUAUAAUAUUCUUUAAUAAUUUUUUUUAUUGAUAUCCUGCAUUUAUUAUGUUUUCGUUAACAUAAGGCCAAAUUGCUGAAAGACUGAAAUGACUGAAAUCUAUCAUUUUGCAUUAAUUAACCAUUAUAUCUUGCUGUAAAUUAGAUACGCCUAGUCAGGCUAAUGC
rnacentral:lncRNA from 1 species